UGAAGGUGGUGUUUUCAAGGCUCAUCUUACUUUUCCGAAAGACUAUCCACUGAGGCCGCCAAAAAUGAAAUUCAUCACAGAAAUCUGGCAUCCAAAUGUUGACAAGAAUGGCGAUGUCUGCAUUUCAAUACUUCAUGAGCCUGGAGAAGACAAAUAUGGCUAUGAGAAACCUGAGGAACGCUGGCUUCCCAUUCACACAGUGGAAACUAUAAUGAUUAGUGUUAUUUCUAUGCUGGCAGAUCCCAAUGGUGAUUCUCCUGCUAAUGUUGAUGCAGCGAAAGAAUGGAGAGAAGACAGAAAUGGAGAAUUUAAAAGAAAAGUUGCCCGCUGUGUAAGAAAAAGCCAAGAAACUGCUUUUGAGUGACACUUAUUCAGCAGCUAGUAGCUUCACUUUUUUUCAGGGUCUCCAAUUGAGAAACAUGGCACUGUUUUUUUUCCUGCACUCUACCCACCUAUUGCUGGACUUCUGUUAUUACAAGUUGGCAAACACUGGCUGGAACUGGGCUGCAAUAAAACAUGCCAGUUAUCAAUGCUGACAAGAGCCUAACAAGUGCCAACACAAGAUGAUUACGCAUUUUGAAAUCUAAUGAACUGCUUUAACCUUCAGGAAGAAUUGUAAAGAUGUGUACAUAGCACAACAUGAUCCGGAUAAUAUAUAUACUGUUCAUGUACAUCCACAAAUACACAUUGUACCAAAUAAUGCUGUCUGUAGUUAGGAAUAGAAUCGUGUAAAUUCUAAAGAUUUUAGCAGGUUUUUCUCUCCCUAUUCAUUGUUUCCUAUGACUUAAAAAAAAAAAAACAAACCAAACAACCACAACAAUUUAUGAAGCAUGUCAAACUAAAACCAAUUAGGAUAAAGGUUUGGGGGUUUUUUGCUUCCCCCUUGCCCCCCCAAUUCAAUUUUCCUUUGACCCACUGAGGCUUAAUUCAAAUUUCUUGCUUAUUAAAGCUUAGUAUAUCUUUUCUUUUUUGAAAAAUGUUCCCUUUUUAUUUCCCCAUCAGAAUUUAAAAUUUUCCUAAUUAAAUCUUGAAAGGAUUUGCUGUCAAUUACUUGUGUCUUCUUUUAUGAUGACCUUUGUAGUCUCAAAGGUGCUUCCCCCCGCCCCCCCCCCCGCUUCUUCCCACCCCUUUUUUUGAACCCAAUUGCACAUACUUCUUGAAUUGGGUAUAGCAAUAAAACUGGCCAUGGAGCACCCUUGAGCAGCCUGCUGGAUUUUUAACUUCAAAGGCACUUGAGCGCUUUCAUUUGGAAGUUCAGUUGACUAAGUUAGUCCAAGAUAGGAAUGAGCUGCUUUUUAUGGGCGAAUUUUUUUUUUUUUGCCUUUUUCAUUGCCUGUUUGUGGGGGGUGUGUGUGUGGGAGGCUUGUUUUUUCUCAAGGUUGAAUUCAAGCAUGCACAUCUGUAGGCUUUCAAAUGACUAACUUCUGGGUUUGGUAUCAGAAAUAGUUUCCUUCCUUUUCCCUUUUCUCUCUUCUGUGGCCCUUCAUAUUCUUUGCCUUCUACUUCAGAGUUUUCCUUACCUAAUGUACAAAGAAAAUUGCGAUGUAUAUUUUCAUGUAAUUUGAUUUUUGGAAUUCUGUCACCUUCUGUAGUGAGUUCUUCCAAAAUAUAAUUUUUUCCAAUAA